rnacentral:rRNA from 1 species
UACGGAGGGUGCAAGCGUUAUCCGGAUUCACUGGGUUUAAAGGGUGCGUAGGUGGGCUAGUAAGUCCGUGGUGAAAUCCCUGAGCUUAACUCGGGAACUGCCGUGGAUACUAUUAGUCUUGAAUAUCGUGGAGGUAAGCGGAAUAUGUCAUGUAGCGGUGAAAUGCUUAGAUAUGACAUAGAACACCGAUAGCGGAGGCAGCUUACUACGCGAUUAUUGACACUGAGGCACGAAAGCGUGGGGAUCAAACAGG